UAAAAGAUCACAAACAACAACAACAUGUUGAGUAGAAAGUGGUGAUGAUGAUGAUGAAGAUGACAUGAUGAUGGUGGUGGUGGUUUCCUUCAUCUUCUUCCUCUUUCUCUGCUCUUCCCUUUUCUUUCUCUUCUUUCUGAUAUCUCUAUCUCUCCUACCUACUCUUUCUACUUCUUCUUAUCCUUUUUUUCUUCUUUUU
rnacentral:lncRNA from 1 species